CGUUGAAAAGUUCGGGGAUGAGGUGGGGGUAGCGGAGAAAUUCCAAUCGAACUCGGAGAUAGCUGGUUCUCCCCGAAAUAGCUUUAGGGCUAGCCUCGGAAAUGACAGUCAUGGAGGUAGAGCACUGAUUGGGUGCGGGGCCCGCAAGGGUUACCAAGCUCAGUCAAACUCCGAAUGCCAUCGACUGAUUAACCGGGAGUCAGACAGUGAGUGCUAAGAUCCAUUGUCAAAAGGGAAACAGCCCAGACCAUCAGCUAAGGUCCCCAAGUGUGUGUUAAGUGGGAAAGGAUG
rnacentral:rRNA from 1 species